UAGUGAGCGUGCUUGAUAGAGAGAGAGACGGAGAGCGGCACUAAGCAAGAAAGAUUGAUGCUGAGGCAAGCCGGCGCUGCACACACACACACACACACACACACACUUACUCUCCCCACACACACACACUUUUUCACACUCCUGAGCUGCUUAGCAGGCAGGAAAAACACUUGACUGUUACUGCGGGACAUGAGGACAUUGAAGAAAAGAAUCUGAAGAAGAACAGCCUCAAAGCAACAGUUCUCACAAAAAAGGUAGCAGCAAGGGCAGGCACAAGGGCAAAGUGUAGCCUCUCUCUCCUUCGCUUUUCUUUUUCGGAUGUCCUUCCGACGCCCCCAUGACAGCAGGUGGGAACAGAGGCGCAUUCCGGGGUACGACAUGGCAAGACGAGCAGGGGGCGACGCCUCCCCGAAAAAGAACGUAUCAUUCAACCUUGUGACCGGCUUCUACCGCUACCUGCGCGAUGAGCAGGAGGCUGUGCAGAAACGGACGUUCACCAAAUGGAUCAAUUCCCACUUGGCAAAGCGUAUCCCGCCUCUUGUUGUGAGCGAUCUAUUUGAAGAUAUCAAGGAUGGCGUCAAGCUGCUUGCCUUGCUGGAAGUCCUCUCUGGGCAGAAACUGCCAUGCGAGCAGGGCAAGAAGCUAAAGAGGAUCCACUGGCUUGCAAACAUCGGUACUGCUCUCAACUUCCUCCAGGGGAGGAAGUCUGCCUACAGGGGAUCACCGAUCAAGUUGGUGAACAUCAACUCAACAGAUAUCGUCGAUGGUCGGCCGUCAAUUGUUUUGGGGCUGGUGUGGACCGUCAUUCUCUACUUCCAGAUUGAGGAGCUAACCAGCAGUCUACCAGCAUCCCAGGCCUCACCCAGUAGCUCCUCAUCACUGGACAGCUCCGCCAGCAGCAACGAGGCCACAAGCCCGCCUCUCAAGAAGAAACCCCUCCCACUCCUGCAAGGUGGUGCCAGGAAGGCCCUGCUCAGAUGGGUCCAGGAGACAGCCACUAAACAUGUGGGAAUCGAGGUGAAAGACUUCGGUCCUAGCUGGCGUACAGGUCUAUCCUUCUUUGCCGUCCUCAAUGCCCUCCGGCCUAAUCUGGUGGACAUGGAGCGAGUAAGGAGAAGACCCAACCGGGAAAAUCUGCAGGAAGCCUUCUUAAUAGCUGAGACGCAGUUAGGCAUAGCGCAGCUCCUUGACCCUGAGGACGUGGACGUGGACAAGCCAGACGAGAAAUCCAUCAUGACGUACGUGGCCCAGUUCCUAAAGCAUCAUCCUGAGCGAGAGCAGAGCGCCUCUGAUGGACAAGCGGCGGCAGACGAAGAAGAGGAGGAGGCGUCUGUCACGCAGCAUGGCCUCGCUCCUCGUGAUAUAGAGGAAAUGUUGGAGCGAGAGCAGAGAAAAAGCCUGAGGGAGUUGAAAAUGUGGCUGGACCAGCUGGAAACAGACGCACUACACGCCCAGGAGACUGAGGGCAAUCUCGCUCAGCAGUACCAGUUGUUUAAGAAUCUGCGUGUCCAGCUGGAGAUGAGGAGGAAGCAGGUGGAGGAUUCCUUAAAGUCCACGCAGAAGGAAGGGAUGCUGACUGUGGAUCAGGCUCUGGUUAAGCAAGCUUGGGAAAGGCUCUCUAACAGGCUGCUGGACUGGCAUCUGCUGUUGGACACAUCCCUUCCCGCUCCUCUGGAUGCGCUGGGGGCCUGGCUGCAUCACACCGAAGGAGCUCUGCGGCAAGAGGUCAUCACCCGACAAGAGAAUGAUGAGGCAGCCGUUCAAAGCUCUUUGGAACGACACAAGGACGUCUUGAGGAGCCUUGAAGAGCACCAGCAGGUCUUCCAGAGGAUCCAUAAGGAUAGAAGCAUCGAUGGCGUCCCUGUCCCCCCAGAACAGCUCCAAGAUAUGGCUGAGAGGCUGAACUUUAUGUCGACAUCUUGCAGCAUCCAUCAGGCCAAGAUGGAAUUCCUGGAGACCAAACACCACAUGCAGACUUUUCUCACUGCAGCUGAGUCUAAGCUCAAGUCCUGGAUCAUUAAAUACGGCACACAGGAAUCUGUUGAACUGAUGCUCCGCGAUUAUGUAGUUUUUGUGGAGAAGCAAUAUUUCUUUGAAAAUUACAAGACCUUGUUCCAGUCUCUGAAAUGUGCCGCUGAGGUUUACACCAGCGCUAUCAGCUCAGACGAGGGAGAGAUGUGGGUGUCCUGUUUUGUGCGGGAUGUGGCGGCCCAGUGGAGGAGCCUGUCCAUGGAAGUGCGCAGCGUGAGGAGCAUGCUGGAGGAGGUGCUUUCCAACUGGGACAGGUACACAUCCACGGUGGGCUCCUUCCAAGCCUGGCUGGAGGAUGCGGAGGAAGCCCUGACCCAGCCAGAAAGCACAAAGCAGGAGUUCUUCAGGAAUCUAAGCUCCUGGAUGGAUCAGCACGCCGCCAUGAACGACGCCGGAAAUUUUCUCAUCGAAACGUGCGACGAGAGCGUGUCAUUUGAGUUAAAGCAGCAGCUCCUUCUCUUGAAUGGACGAUGGAGAGAGCUCUUCCUUAAGGUCAAACAGCACACCCGAGCUAAUGAGUUGGAAAAGUGGAGAAAAGACCACCUAAAGGCGAUGUCGUCUUUGAAAGAACUUUUGGACACAGCCGAGGCAAAACUCAGUGCUCCUGUCCACGUGUCUUUCCUCAGCGUUCGAGCCUUUCUGCAGGAUGUAGAGAAUACCAAGCAAAAGGUUGUUGCCAUGGAGACUCAAUAUAAGCUGGCCGGCCGCAGCGCUCAGCUCCUCGCAAAGGAUGCGGCGCACGACGAGGCCACUCGGGUCAUCGCAGCCAUGACAACCGCAAAGAGUCAGUUGAGUCGGGUAAGGGAGCGGUGUCCCAUUUUUGUGAGGGAAUGUCAUGCCCUUCUGCCAUUGUUGGAGGAGAUGGAAAAACACAUCACUGCCUUUUAUCAAGCGCUGGAGCGUGCCAGUCACAUUACUGCCACAGCCAGUGACGCGCGCACACAGAGCCCGACCAUGCGCAGACACGAGUGGCAGGAUUUGUUAAACCAGCAUCAAACCUGUAAGCGAUGUCUGUCGGUGAUAGAGAGGAACCACCACACGGUGCAGAGAGCACUCUCCACCAGCAAGGUGCUCCAACACUUUGACACGAGCCUGCUGGACAAGACAGUUGCUGACGUGCAAGGCUCAGCACAGGCUCUGCUGAAGGAGGUCGGGGAUUGGAGAAGGCAGCAAGAGGCCAACAGCUCUCUCAGGAGGAGGUUCGAGGAAUCCCGCCAAGACCUGGAGAGAGUGCUGAAGAAAGCCCAGGAGUGUUUGGGAGAGAGCGGAGACGCUGAGGAAUUACUCAGGAAGCACACAGAUUUUUUCAGUCAAUUGGACCAGCGCGUGCUGAGCGUAUUCCUGAAGGCAUGUGACGAGUUGACCGACAUCCUACCAGAAGAAGAGCAACAGGGGCUCCAAGAGACAGUCCGCAGGCUACACAAGCAGUGGAAGGACAUCCAGGGUGAGGUACCAUCUCAUCUGCUGCGUCUCAACGUGGAGGUGGAGCAGAGUCGAGUAGAUGACGUGCUACAAGACUGCAGAGCAGAGCUGCACCGAGAAAUCCAGUCCUUAUCGCACACCUCCACCAGUGAGCAUGUGAUCAAAGAGCAUAGGACGUUCUUCAGGGAACGCAAACCUCUAACAUUGUGCGAGAAGAGGAUUAGGAACAUGGAGGAUCUGUGUCAUAAAUUGCCCGACAACGACUCGGCUUACAGGAGGCUAGACUCCACCAGGAGGUCUGUGGACCAGGUUACGGAGCAGAUAAGGAGCACUAGCCUGCAGCUGGAACAGCAUCCUGAUAAGUGGAAAGACUGGAACGAUAGAUUUUGUGAGCUCUCAGGCUGGCUCUCAUCUCAGCGGAGGCUCCUCAAGGAGACGGCAAGAACUUCCACACAUAAGGAGCAAGUUGAAGCUGCCGUGCAGGCAUUGCGAGAGGCGGGAGAAGCUCGGGAAGAGAGCCUCUCGUGGCUUAAGAGUCGUCUUUCUAGCUUGACUGACGUUAGCUCUGAACUGGAGAUACAGAGACAGCAAACAGCCCUGACUAAACUUUCAGCUGACUUCAGGGACCUUUUUUCAUCACUCUGCCAGGGUAGCGGAGAGGGCUCAAACAUGUUCCAGUUUGAGGAGCUCAGGGAGGAGGUGCGUGGUGCUUUGAAAGAGGUACUGAAAGCUGGGAAGGAAGCCGGGGAGCAAAUCAGCAGGAUCCUGGAUGCUGAGGACCUGAGAGAAGCUCAGGACCUGUUCCUUAUACACCAGCAACGCCUAAAACAGCUGCAGGCUCUCAGAAGGGAGGCGGAGCUUCUUGUGUCCCACUCGCAUCAGUUGCAUACAGGAGAGGCGCUAAGUCGCUCUGUGCACGAGCUGGAGGAGCGUGUCAGAGAAGUUGACCGGCAGUUCAGCGCCAAGGAACACAACCUGAAGGCCACUCUGGACUCCUGGCAGAGCUUUGAAAAGGAGCGACAAACAGUUUGGAGUUUUAUUAGGCAGACAAAGACUGAGCUGCGCAAAGAGCUGAUAUUCAACAACUUGGACAGCCUGAAAAGAGAAACGGAUCUCAACAAGGAGCUUUUCCUAAAGGUUGAGGACUGCAGCGUGCGAGCAGACGUGCUCCUGGAGGAUGCAGUGGAUCUCCAGCUGGGUCCGAAGAAUCAAAGUCUGGUUCUGCAGCAGGCCCAGUUGGCCAGAGAAGCCAUCAAGGAGCUUCAAGACCACCUCAGCAAAAAUGUUGUACAUCUAGAAAGGGUGUAUACAUCGUGGGAGCGCUUCAGUGUUGAAUCGGUGAAGUUCUCCUCAUGGAUCAAUGAAAAUCAGAGGAUGCUGGAGGCCAUCGAGAUCUCCUCACCGUCAGAUCAUUUGGACCAACACAUCAGCACAGUAGAAAGAGUGGCAGAAGGUCUAGAGGAGCAGCGAGCCGCUCUGGUGUACAUGGAGGAGGAUUGCAAGGUCCUGUCCAGAUUGGUGACACCUGGAGAGAGCGGCUGUAUCCGUGCGGACCUCACCCAGAUGAGGCGCUCCUGGGAGGGGCUGAUGGAGAACACAGAGCGGUUAACAGAGCAGCUGAAGCAGAGCUCCACUUACACCGAGAGAUGCAAUGAGAACCUUGAACAGGCCAAGGAAACAAUGAAGCAUCUUAAAGAGAAACUUGACUCUCCGGCUACAUUUUGCUCUUCAUCGUCUGAGACUUCCAAGAACUUGCAGAGUCACAUGGACGUGUCCCAGGCUGUGGAGCAACUGAAGCCCAGACUAAUGGCGUUGUGUUCAGCUGUGAGGAGUCAAGGAGAGGCUACCACAGUGGAGCAAGACGUGCUUGACCUCCAGAAGCUGCAGGAAGAGUUUGUAGCAAAGGCCGCAGAGAAACAAUCUACACUAGAGAGCCUUCUUGCACUGUGGCAAAGAUUUGAAAAGGAGACGAAGUCAAUGAAAAGCUGGCUAGACCAUGGCGAGUCUAUUUGCUGUGCUGACAAUGACUUACUGUCUGCAGACAAGAUGAAGAUAAGGAUGGAGCUCCUGCAUGUGAAGGAAAUGCAGAGUGAGACGCCCUCCAAUGACGCCCUCCUCGAGGGUCUGUUAAAUCUGGCGUUAUGUCUCCGUCCGUCUGCCCCUGAAGCUCCAGUGCAAGAGCUCAGUGAUGAUCUCACACAGCUCCAGAAGCGAUACACUUCACUGAAGAACAACAUGACACACAGAUGCAAGCUGCUGGAGACUCAGUUGUCCCAACUUGAGCUUUUUGACCAGGAACUUCUGACACUGAGCCAAAAGAGUGAACACUUGAGAAGCUCUUUUCAGGUGGAUAUUAUUGAUCUCAACGGUGCCUUCGCAAAACUCAUGGAACAUGAAUCCGAGUUAAAGGAUCAUGCAUCACUUCGAGAAGCUCUCCAACAAAGAGAAUCCUCCCUGCUUGACUGCUCUACUCCCGAGGCCCAGCAGCAGCUCCAGGCCCGGAGAGAGGACUGCCUCCAACCUCUCAGUGAAGCUGAAUGUCUGCUGUGUCUGCGAAAAGCAUGUCUGAAUGAAUUAGAGUCCUUCCUGGAGAAGAACAAAGCAGCAGCUCAGGAUGUCGACUGGAUUCAUGAAGCCCUGCAGAGGGGGGGCACCUGGACUCGAUCAAAAACCGUAGAGCUCCAUGGCCUUACAGGGAAAGUUGCAAAAGAUGUGGCCCAGCUUGAGAGCGAGGCAGUGGGGUUGGAUGGGAUGCUGACCAAGGCCCACCUUCACUUGUGUGCCUCAGAGGAGCAUAGCUUAGCGGGAAGAACCAAGGGAAGAACCUCUUGCAGCGGGCUAGUUGUUGCCCUCGUCUCAUCCCUGGAGGAAGCUCAGUCGGGUUUGGGAUGGAGGCUCAGUGAAGCAGACGCUCUUGGAGACAUGUGGAGGUCUUUCACGGGAAAGAAGGUGGAGGUGAUGAAACAUUUUGAGAAAAUGGAGGAUGAAACAAGGCAGGUGGCGGUCAGUGAGUGCUCAGUGCAAGCAUUUCAAAGCAGGCUGCGCUCCUUGACCCAACUAGAGGAGGAGCUCCAUUCCUUCCAACAGUGCCAGCAGUGGUUAGAGGAGAGGGGAAGCCAGCUUGCCCAGAGAGACACUGAGCUGGCAGAGGAGGCUCUGAAGGAGCUUAAACUGGUGAAGGCGGCCUGGGACAAUGUCAAGUCUCUCAUUACCAGCAGUCAAAAACAAACUACAGUUGUACUAGAUCUUCUCCGCCAUUACCAUCAGCUGAGGUCUACCCUCUGCGCCACGGUGGAGAAGGCAGAGUCGCUCGCUCACAACCUGCCUGAUCACAACCACAGCGCUCAGGAGGCUAGGAGCUCCUUCACACGGCAUGAGAAGAUGCAAGGAGAGCUGAGAGAAAAGCAGGAGGACAUGGACCAGCUCAUCAGCACGGUGGAGGAUCUGCAGAGAGAAUUGGAUGACAUUCCCAACUGUGACAUGUGCAUCAUCCAGGGAGAGAUGGAGACAUUAAGGGAACAGUGGUUGGGGGUAUCAGAGAGAAUUCAAACUAAUACGGAAAGAUUGAGCUGCUGUAUGACCCUAUGGGAUGACCUCAAGCUCAUGGAGCAGGAUAUCUGCCAAUGGACUAUCACCUCCAUUGCUGAACUCAGUGUUACCAAUCUGAACGACAAGGAGACGGAAACUCGCCUCAUUACCUUUCAGGCUGAUAUGGAGAAAAGGGAGCACUCGCUGGAUGCUCUCCAGGAGAGAGUGGAAGACCUAAAGUACCGAGCUAAACUGGAGGAAACGCCCCUACAGAUGCAGGUCCUGGAGUCUGACUUGAGGAAAAAGUUGGCCCAUGUGCAGGAGAUGCAUGACCAAGCCAAACACAGCCUGACCUACUUCACUUUCCAGAAGCAGCGACUUGAGGACCUCAUGUCACUGAUGACUGAGCGCCUUGAUAAAAUGGAAGGUUCCUUGUCGGGCCUCCCUGAGACCGCCUCCCCUGAAGCGAUCAGUGCCAUUAAGGGUCUGCAGGAUGUUGUGGAGGAACAGAGGGCAGACAUGGACUCCGCCAGAGAGGCUAUGAGCGCCCUGUGCAGGUCUCAUCCCUCUCAGGAGCUGUCUCGCCUCUCUGCUGACCUCACUGCCGUCGCCAAUCGAACCGAGGUGGUCACCCAGCGUUAUGCUAAGGCCAGGGGCAGCCUGCAGGAUGUGCUGCAGAUCCACUUCAACCAGCUUUUCCAAGGAUUUCACUCCUGGCUGUCUGGAUUGAAGUUGGAGUUGAAAGAAUGUUCAAAUCAGUCUGGAGACGCUGCCGCCCUCGCAGCAAACUUGCAAAGACUGAAGUUGUUAACGGAGCGAGUGUCAGAGGGCGAGGAACGUCUCUCUGGGUUCUGUGAGGAGGCUGAGAGGCUCCACCUCCACCUGCCAAAAGCUGCACAAACACAGCUCCAAGAGCAUCUUUCUUCUUGCCAGAGAGACUGGAGAAGCUUCCUGGACGGCUCUUCUCAGAGCCAACAAGACCUGGAGGAGAGUAUUCAGCUCCUGAAAAGUUUUGAUGACACUGUCAAAAGUGUCAACGAAUGGCUUAAGCAGAUGGAGCUCAUCCUCAGCAGGGAGUCUCUUACUGGAGAAGAUGGCCAACAACGUGCCCCUGAUACCAGAGAGGAACUGGAGAGGAUGGAAAACCUCCAUAAGGAGCUUUUAGAUAGACUGGACUCAAUUGAUGGUGUCGUCCUGGAGGCACAGUCCUUGUCCGAAGCGGGACGUGGCUCCGGUGGAGAAGUCCAAGUAGCGGGCCGGCUCCAGAUGGAGUACCAAGCCCUGUUGAAAGUUGCCAGGGAGAGGCUGCGAGGCUGUCAAGAGAACCGAGCCUUUGGGGAGACCCUACAAGCGGUGUGGGCCUGGUUAGAGGAGAUCCAGGAGAAACUGGGUACAGUUGAUAGCACCAUGGGCACCAAAGAGCAGUUGGAGCAGAGGCUGGAGACUGUACAGGAUAUCCUGCUUUUGAAGGGGGAGGGAGAGGUCAAACUGAAUAUGGCAAUAGGUAAGGGCGAAAUGGCCCUGCGCAGCUACGGAUCCACUGGACAGGAAGUGGUGCGCUCUCAGCUCCAGGAGUUGGAGGAUGCUUGGGCCACGCUGCUUGUGACCGCCAUGAGCUGCCACAGCCGUCUCGAGUGGACCGUCUCACAGUGGAGUGGUUACCUGGAAAAUGCGGCCCAACUCCGUGGCUGGAUGGAGGCUGUGGAGCGGGAGGUAGGGGCAUCCCUGACCCCUCAACCGGGACCCAGAGAGAAGGCCUCGCAGCUGGAGAGGCUCCGAUCCCUGCUGGCCGACCUGGAGGACCACCAGAUGGCUUUAUCCAGUCUGGAGGAAAAAGCCCGAGAACUUUUCAAGAAGACCGGGGAUGCCAGUUUUAACCAUGGUGCUCGAACGCAGUUGCAGGUGCACUUCGACGAGCUGGCAGCUUUAGUCGAGGCGCGGGUUCAUCGAGCACAGAGCGUGGUGCUGGAACACCAGGAAUACCUGGAGGCUAUCCGGGAGCUCACUGAUUGGCUGAUGACCGCGGGAGAGGAGCUUCAGCAUUGGUCGGACACAUCUGGAGACUCCGCCUCCAUCAUGAAGAGACUCCUUGAAGUGAGGGAGCGUGUGGAGUGUGAACUCCUGGAGGGUCGGGAGCGCCUCAGCCGUGUGCGUAGGACGGCGGCGUCCGCAGCAGAGCACACGGCCGCAGGAGGCUGCGAGGCCAUGGACCGACAGCUGGGGGCGCUGGCGCAGGCGCUUGAGCAAUGGGAGGGCGCUGCUCUGAGGUCCCGGGACGGGCUGGAGGCCGCUCUCGCCUCUGCUGCCGCCUCGGAGGAGCAAUACGAGGGUCUAACCUGUCGGCUGGAUGCAGAUUUGAAAGCGCUGGAUGGACGGCUGAGGGGGUGGAGCCAGGAUCUGAUUAGAGCCGAGGGGCGGUGCAAUGGCGAGGAAGCAGUGGCGGGAUGGCGGCUGGCCAAGGACAUACUGGAAGGCUUGCAGAGCGCCGAGCCCAUGGCAGAGAAGUUGAAAGGUCAACUGAACGAGCUGGUGCGAUACUCCAGAGACUUGGGCUCCCAGUCUGACCGAGUCACCGCUCUUAUCAAGCAACACAACAGCCUCAGCCUCCGUGCGUCCAGGGAGUGCCAAAAUAAGGAGCGCCUCCUGGAGCAGCGGUUCCGGGCCGCACUCAGAGACUUCCAGCAGUGGUUGGUCAACGCCAAAAUCUGCACCGCCAAAUGUUUCGACGUGCCACAGAGCGUGGCAGAGGCCUCCACCGCUCUGCAAAGAAUACAGGAGUUCCUGAGUGACAGGGAGCACGGCCAGGCCAGGCUGAGUACAGUAGGAGCCAGCGGGGAGCUGCUGAUGGCGGUGGUGUCCAAAGACAGAGUGGAGGGGAUCAAGGCCAAAGUGGCGACCGCCAGGGAGGACUGGAAAAGCCUGAUGAAUAACUUGCAGCUGAGGCAGGAUGCGCUCAAGAGCUUGUAUUGUCAGAUGACAGAGUUUGAAGCCAGCGCACAACCCUUGCAGGUGUGGCUCAACAGCGCCGAGGUCAAAGUUCAGGAAAGCAGUGCUCGACUACACGACCUCUCGGCCAAGAAACAAGAGCUUAGCAAACUACAGAAUGUUCUGGAAGAGAUGUUUAGUCGCGACGCAGAACUGGGCCACCUCAGAGAGAGAGCUCAUCGUCUCUGGGAGGGACAGGCUGCGGGCAAGGGCUUCGUCCAUCGAGUGUCGCAGCUGUCGGCGCAGUACUUGGCUCUCAGCAACCUGACCAAGGACAAGGCCUCCAGGGUUGAGCGUAUCGUAGGGGAGCACCGCCUCUUCUCUCAGGGCCUCGUAGAGCUCCAGGAAUGGGUGUGCAAAGCUCAGAGGAUCCUGGGCACGUGCAUCUCUGCCACUUCUGAUAAAGUUGUGCUGGAGGACCGCAUGUUACAGCUGGAAGCUUUGCUCGCCGCACGUCAAGAGCGGGAGAUCCAACUGAAGAUGCUGCUUACCAGAGGAGAAGCGGUCCAGCGGAACACGUCGGCUGAGGGUGUCCCGGUGAUCCGGAAACAGAUCCAGGACCUGAAGGACUCGUGGGACUCUCUGCUUUCUGCCUCCAUCAAGUGCAAGAGCCAACUGGAGGGUGCCUUGUCGCAGUGGACCAGCUAUCAGGAGGAUGUGGGGCACUUUGUGCUUUGGAUGGACCGCGUUGAGGAAACACUGAGCUGCUCGGACAGACAGUACUCUGAGAUGAGAGACAAGACUGCCAACUUGGGAAAGACUAAGCUUCUGUAUGAGGAAGUGCUGAGUCACAGCUGUCCUCUGGAGACCAUAGCAACAAAGGGAGCCAAUAUGGCGGAACACUGCACCACCCAGCAGGAAGUGAAGCAGCUACAGACCAGAUACACCGCACUCAAAGAAAAAGCCAAGAACGCCGUGAGCAAGGCUAAGGGGCUGGUGCUGAUCCACCAGGACUACCAGCGAGGGCUACAUGUGUUUGAAGAUUGGUUAGAGCAAGAACAGGCCACUCUGGCGUCAUUAUCCCAUCUGGAAGGAGAUGUUGAGACACUUGAGGGAACACUCAAGCAGCUCCAGCUUCUCCAGGAGCACUGCUCAGACGGCCAAUCGCUGCUGUCGUCAGUGCUGACCACCAGAGAGAGGGUCAUCCCAUGGGGUGUACCCCAGAUAGAGGACAGAACCCUUGACACUGUACAAAGGGAGUGGGUGUCUUACCAGGAUCGUUUGGAGGAGACCCAGACCCAGCUGAAGUCCACCUUGACCAGAUUAAAAGAGAUGGGGCAGAAGUUCCUUACUUUAGCUCAGUGGCUUGAGGAGAUGGAGAAAGGGGCUAACUUGAGACCUCAUCGGAGGUCCGAUAGAGGCACCAAAAAGACUCAGCUGUCGAAACUUAAGUCGUGUCUUCAAGCAGUGCUGACACGGCAAGGAGAAGUGGAUGGCCUCUCCUCGCUAUCCCAGCAGAUUUUGGAAGAAGCCUACAUCAGUGGUCAUGUUAGCGUCACGACAAUGCAGCUCACCGCCCGCUACCACUCCCUGCUGCUCAGCAUUCAGGACUCCAUCAAGCAGCUGCAGGAGGAGCUGAAGAGUAUAGAAGAGGCCGAAAACCUUUGCAUGACCUUCACGGAUUGGCUCAGCUCGGCACAGAAAAGCUUCACGGAAGUAACUGACACCUCCGAACCCCUGGACCGCAACACGAUGGACAAGAAGCUGAAGAAACUAGAGACUCUGCAGGCUGAUCUCCAUCACGGUCACAGCUUCCUGAAAUCCCUAAGGGAGACGGCUGAGCGGGCAGCAGGCUUCCUGAACGAGGCCGGAGCAGAGAGCUUAGGAGGGGAGGUGGAAGCCCGUCUUUCCCAGAUGGAGGAGCUCUCGGGCUGGCUCAGGCAAGAACACAGCUUCCUGGAGCGUGCGUCGCUGCUAGCGAAGGAGUUUCAGGACCGCUACAAGGCUCAGGCCCAGUGGCUGGUGGAGACAAAGGCUUUGCUCAGCUCUCCAGUGGAGCCCAAGGCUGAACUAUACCAACGGAGGGCACAGCUUGCCAAGUACAAGGCUCUGCUACAGAUGGUCCAGUCCCAGGAUGGCUCCAUCAGGUCAGUGGUGGAGAAGGGCGACGCUUUGCUGGCAUCUGUCCAUUACCCCUCCGUCAGAGACAAGAUGAACAAGCUGCAAAAGGACUACAGUGACCUGUGCAAUAUGGCCAUGUCCCACGUGGAGCAUCUCAGCGGCCAUGUGAAGGAGCAGGAAGUGUACCACAACAAGCUCCAGGAGGCAGAGCGAUGGCUGCUGCAGAUGUCCAGCAGGAUGGUGACGCCUGACCCCAGCAUGAGCCAAAGUCUGGAGGCGGCCACUCAACAGCUGGCUAGACACAAGGCCAUCAUGGAGGAGAUAGCAGGCUUUGAGGAUCGCUUGGCAGGCUUGAAGCAGCGAGGGGACCACCUGGUGCACGGCUGCGACGAGCGCGUGCAGAGUCGGCUGAGACAGCAGGUCCAGGCUCACCAGCAAGGCACCAGAGACAGCUACUCUGCCAUCUGUAGCACAGCGCAGAGAGUAUAUCAAAGCCUGGACCAUGAGCUCCAGAGACACGUGAAUCUCCAAGACACCCUGCAACAAUGCAAGACUUGGCUGACAUCUGUCUCGGAGCAGCCCGAGCCUCCUGCACAGACCCCUCUGAGCCUGGAGGAGGCGCUACAGCAGGUGAAGCAGGAGCGGGCCCUCCAGGAACAGGCCAGCACUUACCUCCAGCUGGUGUGCUCCUCCUGUGACCUCUCACUCUUAAGAGUGCAGGAGGUGGCUGCCGCUAUCCAGCAGGUCAAACUACAGGUUGAGGAGCGCAUGUUGCUUUGCGAGGAGGUUGUAGAUGGCUGGAAGGACGUUGAGGAGGAAAGGGCACGUUUGGAGGUCCGGCUGAGAGAGACGGAGCAGCAACAUGAGAACCUCAUCAGGUGUCCUGCAGAGCUUGAGCCCAGAAUUGCACAGAAUCAACUAGACAAAGCGCAGGAGUUCCUCCAGCAUGUGAGGGAGAGGCAGUCUGAGGUGAGCCGUCUGAAUGAGACCAUCGUUCGAAUGACGGGGGGACAGGACUGUGCCACUCUGGAAGACAUGAAGAAACUGAGGAGGAGCUGGGUGGAAAUGGGCCAGCGUGCAGAGGAGCUAGAAGCGGAGCGAGGGGAUGACAUGCAGCGAAGCGGCGAGUACCAGGAGAGCGUGGUCGCCGUUGAGGAGCUUUUCCAUCAAGUAUCCAGGGAAUGGGACUACCUCGCCAGGGCUGACACUGAAAGUACAAGUGAACAUCUAGAAGCUCUGAGGAAGUUGUCCAGUGACCUAGUGGAGCAAAAAUCAACCCUAGAAGAUCUACGGGACCAGAAACAAAGUAUCCUACCUCGAAUAAGCCUCCUUGACAAGGAACUGGUCAAACAACAGGUGGGUCACCUGGAGCAACGCUGGUCUCAGCUCGAGACUCUUAUCCAGCACAAGAUAGUGGACUCCACACAAACUUUAGAGGAUCUGACACGGGUGGAAACACAGCUGAGGGACGCCCGCGAGUGGGUGGAAGAGCAGCGACCUGCGCUCACCUCCAGCUUGAAAACCAGCCCCCCACCUGACCUUGCCCAGAGUUUCCUGUUCGACCACUUGAGUGUGUGCGUGGAGCUGGAGGCCCGCCAACAGUUGCUGGGCCGAGCGUUGAGCGAAGCACAAGGUGUCGCCUCCAGGCUGGGGCUGAGCGAGAAGAGAAGUCUGCAGGAGCUUGUUGAACAAGCCCAGACUGAAGUGGAGGCCUUGGAAGCUCAAGUGGCCCAAAGGAGAAAGUACCUCAGCAAGGCCUUCACAGAGAGGACUCAGUUCCUUCAGGGUCUGGGGAGAGCACUGUCGUGGGUACAACAACAAGAGAGGAAGGCCCUGAUAGACGACCAUAUUGCGCUCCUCCCUGAAGACCUCGCGAAACAGGCAUCUGCAUGUCACAGCAUCCAGAGCAGCCUUCGAGCCUACCAGAGGGAGUUGGCAUCUCUUUGGGUUCAAGGUCGGGAGCUGGAAAGGGACGCCACAGAUAAAGAGAGAGCAGAAACCUUGGCAAAACUGGAGGAGCUGCAGUCGGUAUUCGAAGCGUCUCUCCACACUACCAGCAGGCGUGUUACAAUCUUGGACAAAGCCUUCACAUCCAGGAAGUACUUCCAGGUGGACCUGAACAAGACUUGUCACUGGCUGAGACACGCAGAAGCCAUCACUUUCCCGGAAAUCAGUCUCAACGACAUUGAGGAUACCUCAGAACUGCAAGAGCAUUUAUCCACUUUUCAAAAAGUCCUGGAACAAGCGUCAGAGAAUGAGAAUCUCCUUCUGAUCGUGCAAAGGAUAGGCCAGGAGAUCCUUCCUACUCUGAACGAGAUCGACCACUGCUACCUGGACGAGCGUCUCAACGCCCUCCCCCAACAGUACAACAGCAUCCUGGCGCUGGCCAAAGAGAAAAAAGACAGGGUUCAACAAUUAAUCAUAGAGAGAAAAGAAUUCAGCACUUUGUUUGAUGCGACUCGAAGCACGGUGGAGAACCUUCAGGAACAGUUGGACAAUCUGGACAAGAAGACUAUCAGUACCAGCGAAGAGGAGCUUGUUUGUCUAAGGAGUGACUAUCAGAGAAUCGGUGAAGGUUUAUCCCACAUCAGCCAUGCGGUCAGAGAUCUUCAGGGUAAAAAUGAAGGCUUUCUCACUAUGGGCCACACACACAGAGCUGAAGAAACGCGUCAGCUCGUGUGCCUUCACUGCACACUGAGAAGAAGAACUAAUCAGAAACGUAAAGAUUUGGAUGAUGCCCUGGAGGUCAUAGAGGAGCACAACAGACAAGCAAACCGCUUAGACCAGGAACUGAAGUUUGCCAAAGACAAUCUGGUUGGACUCAAGUCAGAUUUAGAACUAGAUGCCACACAUAAAAUGGCAGCUCUUUAUGCGUUACUUGAACGUCUGGAUUGUGUAUCUUUAGAGGCCAAAGAAUGUAGCCCACAGACCCAGACCCUCGGCUUGAGCUUUGACCCCACUGCCUUUCAGGAGAUGACAUCCCUGCGUGACUCCCUGCAGUCCUUACGUUUGGAUGUGAAAUGCUGCAUUGAAGAAAGCGUAAAAGACAUCUCACAAGACUUCUCAGGGGAGAUGGAGAAGAUGUCAGAAUGGCUGAAUGAGGUUAAAGUCGCACUAGAGGAGCCUGUAAGCUUCAUGGAAGCCAAAGUUGAGAGGGUGGAGGAGAAAAUGUGCAAACUGAGAAUCACGGAAGAGGAAGUGAGGAGCAGAAUGUGCAAGGUGGAUGCCUUGUUUAGCCAGGAAGUGCAGAUAUAUAGCAGUAGAAAGGAAAGCAUUCCGGCCCAUGUGGAGGUAAAAGGAGAGGAGCUGAGGAUGCUGGGAGAUGAAGUUCUAAAGGAAAUUAACCAAAAGCGGCUGACUCUGGAGCCAGCUCUUGGUGCGGUCCAGAGGCACAAGUCAUGUUUGCAAUCCGUGCAGAAACACCUGAAUCAUGCAGCGGGUUUCCUUCAGAGUGCCAACAUCGAUGUGGAACUUGAGGGCCACAUAGACUGGAUUGUGAACCUGGAAGAAAUCGCAGCGCAGGAAAAGAAGUUUACAGGGGUCCUAGAGGAGAUGAGGACAACAGCGGAGCCCCUGUUGACGGAUGGCGCCAUGACCCUGCUCAGAGGAGAAGCUGAAGCCGUGCAGCUGAGGAGCACGGAAAUCAAACAGCAGAUGGAGGCCUUCAGAGACGUUCAUGAAAGGUCUGCGUCUCUUUGGGCCUCCAUCCAACAUGAGAGAGACCGGCUGGUUGAACAGAUGAACGAUGUGGGGAGCAAGAUGGCUGCCUUCUCCACCGCUAAAGCGGACAGCCUCCAGCAGGCGGAAGACAAGUGUGAGAAAUACAAGUCUUUGGCGACUCACAAUGACCUCCAGGAGUUUGCUCUCAAUGCUCUGAAAGAGAAGGCAGCCGAGUUGGAGCAGCUUGUCGCCAGAACUGACGCAGCCGUUGUUGUCAGCCAUGCUCUCUCGUCACUACGGCAACGAUGGACCAAGCUACGCAGUGUGGUGAGAACCCAGGAGAGGGCACUGGAGGACACUGCCAGGGAGUGGAGGAACUUCACACAAAAGAUGGAGAAAGUGCGCUCCGUCUCAGCAGACCUCCACGGCCGUGUCCCUGACAGCACCGUCGAGAAAGCAGCCACCAGGGCGGCGCUCCAGACCCUCCUUGAGUACCACGACUCCUUCACCCUGGAGGUGGAGAGGGAGCAGUCCAUCCUGGCUCUGAUGGGGCAACAUAUCCACAGCCUCAGAGGAGAUGAGGAGGAGAUGGAGAAAGACCAUCAGGACCCACAGUGCCUUCAAGAGAUCAAAAACAUGCAGGGCCGCUAUGACAGUUUGGUGUUACAGGUCCGUGCUAGCAGGGCUCAGGUGCACCAAGAGUUGAGGGAGCGAGAGGAUGUCGAGAAGGAGCUGGGCUUGGUUAAAGGUUGGAUUCAAGACACUCGAGGCUUGCUCUUGAGUCCCACUGCAGACCUGGACACUCUUUUGCAAGAGUUGGAGACGGCACACGGCGAGGUAAUCAAUCGACGACAGAGUCUGGAGCGCAUGACGGUGGUGCAGCAGUCAAAGUACCAGGACCUCCAGGCGGGGCUGCCGUCGGAGCUCAGCAUGCAGCUGGCGGAGGUGGCGCUGGCUCUGGGUUCUGCUGAGGACCAGGUCCAAGCCAGAGAACGAGAGGUGCAGCAGACCCGAGACGUAAAGGAGGACUUCAGCUCCAGACUGCAGGACAUCCAGUCCAAGCUGAAGAGCAUCACGUUGAGAUUUGAAAUGAAGGGAGCCAACCUGGAGGAGGCCAAAGAGGAGACCAGGACUCUUCGGGAAGAGUGCGAAUGCUGCACUCACACCCUGGCUGAGUUAGCUGCGGCCGUGCAGGAGUUUAGUGAGCAGAACCCUCUCUUGUGCAAGCAGCUGGGCGACGCCGUGGCCAAAAUGGCCCAAGUGCAGCGCCACACCACACAGCAGGUCCAGGACCGAAGCAACAAACUGAAAAAGGCGGAGAAGCAGAUGCAGGAGUAUCAAAGUAUGAAGGAAUUUAUUUUGAGUUGGAUUGAAAAAGCGGAGACUCUGGUGACUGGUGACAUCAUCUGGAACCCGGUAUCUCAGCUCCAAGAGCAAAUCAGAGCAUAUCAGGCGUUGCUGCGGGAGUGUCGAGGUCUCCAUGGUGACUUGGAGGCCAUGGCAGAAAGGGAGGUGCAGCUGGGGGAGGUGUUGACGACUAAAGGGUGGAGCCAGCAGGUGAAACACCUCAGCAGACGCACUGAGGAGCUUCAGCUGUCAGCCAAGACCCGGCUGCAGAGUCUGCAGGAUGCGGCCAAGGAUAUUUUGCGUCUGGAAGCCGAGGUGAAGAGUCUCCACGCUGCAGUGGACCAGAUCCAAGUCACACUGGCCUCCCCGGAUCUCAACAGGCUGAGUCUGAGAGAGCAGCUCACACAGAGACAGCGUCUGUUGGCCGAGAUGGAUGGCUUCAAGCGGCAGGUGGCGGCUGUACAGCAGUGUCAGAGCGCCCUCCGGCUUCCGGAAGAGGUAGUGGCAGGUCUUCCUGUGUGCCGCACAGCGCAGAUCUUGCAGCAAGAAACCAGCCAGCUGCAGCAUACAACCAUCCAGCAGUGCAAUAUCCUACAGGAGGCUGUGGUGCAGUAUGAACAGUAUGAAGUGGAAGUGAAGAACUUGCAGAGGUUGAUAGAGGAAGCCCACCGCAUCAUUCAGGACCGACCUGUGUGCACCAGCAACAUUCAGGAGCUUCAGGCUCAGAUACAGCACCAUGAGGAGCUAGCCCAGAAGAUCCGUGGCUACCAGGAGCAGAUCGCGUCGCUUCACUCCAAGUGCAAGAUGCUGACGGUGAAGGCCAAGCACGCCACUAUGCUGCUGACGGUCAGCGAGGUGGAUGGCCUCUUGGACGGCAUGGACGAGCUCAGCGACGAGGAGCUGCCGAGCGCCGGAGCCAGCGACAAGCAGCUUCCUGCUCACCCCUCUGUCGUCAUGAUGACAGCGGGCCGCUGCCACACGCUCCUCUCCCCUGUGACCGAGGAGUCAGGGGAGGAGGGCACCAACAGCGAGGUCUCCUCUCCCCCUGCCUGCCGCUCCCCCUCCCCUGGGGCUAACGCUGACGCUCCUCUUAACCAGGCUCGAGGCGGUCUUAGUCGAGUCCCCCUGCAGGAACUCUAUGAUCCGUCUAUGGAGAGCAGCACUGCCAACCUGGAUGACCUGCAGAGAUCUUGGGAAACACUCAAGAACGUGAUAAGCGAGAAGCAGAAGAGCCUGUAUGAAGCCCUGGAGCGACAGCAGCAUUACCAGGAGUCCCUCCAGUCCAUUUCUACCAAAAUGGAGUCCAUAGAGGCGGCACUUAGCGAAGGCCUGGAGCCCAACAAGAGCCCAGAGAGCCAGAUGGCGACACAUCAGGCUCUAAUGGACGAGAUCCUGAUGCUGCAAGAUGAAAUCGGGGCGCUGCAGACAUGUUUCUCAGAGGAGCUGGCUGACGGAGACAGUGACGCAGAGGCUGCUGACCAGCUCGCCCUGCAGUCCACGCUCACUGUGCUGGGGGAGAGAAUGGCCACCAUUAGAAUGAAGGCUUCUGGAAAGCGCCAGCUGCUGGAGGAGAAGCUCAGUGAGCAGCUUGAGGAGCAGCGACAGGAGCAGGCACUGCAGCGUUACCACAGCGAGGCCGAGGAGCUCGACCACUGGCUGCUCAGCACUCGUGCCACCCUCAGCUCGGCGCUUCAGCUUCAAAAUGAAGACCUGGACAUGGAGGAACAGCUCAUUGACUGCCAGAACAUGCUGUUUGAAAUCGAGCAGAAGGUGUCGUAUCUCUCUGAGCUGUCCGUGCACAGCGAGAGCUUACUUUUGGAGGGACGGGCCGAGACCAAGGGCGAGGCGGAGCAGCUCACUUUCAAACUGCACUCUCUGAAAGACAGCCUGCUGGAGCUGCAGCAGAUGCUGCAGGACAAACAGGUGGACAUACAGGGUUCUUUGCAGGAGCAGGAUGACAGUGAGCCAGACUCGACGCUUUCGCAGAGCCCCAACGUGCAGGAUUGGCUGUCUCAGGCCCGUUCGUCACGCACGCAGCAGCAUCAUGACAAUCUGCUCCGCCAGAGAGAGCUGCAAGAGCAUGUUGCUGAGCAGAGGAGGUUGCUUCAGUCUGUAGCCAGUGUUGGCGAGAACUUCCUCAGCCAGCAGAUCACACCAAAUGGGGACAGUGAGGUGUCUUUUCCUGGGGGAGUUUUGCUGGAGACGGAGAGCCUGUCCCCCGUGGACCACUUGAGACAACGCUGGGAGAACCUGAACAAAGAUCAGAGUACCAAGCUGCAGCUCUCGCUCAACACGCUGGAACAGGACCAGUUUAGCCUGAUCAUCCACCGGUCCCGCCUGACUAGCCCUAGCAUGGUCUUCAGGGGCGAGUCCAUCAACCAGGACUCUCACUCCCCGACAGCUUUAUUUGAGGCCUGCAGUCAGACUCUGGAAAGAAUUGCUGAGGAGGCAGAGAGCGGGGACAGAAAGAUGGUGCUGUCCACAGUGGGAACCACACUCCAACAGACACUGUACACCGCCGUAUCAGCAGCCUCCACCUGGUUGGACGCCGCUGAGAACGAGAUGCUCUCCGGACCUGUGCUGCUGUCUGAAGAUACAGAGACGCAGCUCACAAGUCUCGAGUGCACAAAUAAAGAUCUGAAGGACAUGAGCAGAGAGGUGAACCAGUGCAGAGACCUCCUGGGUGGAGGAGCAGGCCGCCUGUGUGGAGGGGAGGAGCGAGCCUUAAUGGAGGACACCCUGGAGGGUCUGCAGGAGAGGAUGGGGCUGCUGGACUCCACCCUUGAACAGCACUGUGACACCAUGAGGGACAGGCUCCAGGAGCACCUAAACUUCCAGAAUGAACUCCGGAUGCUGUUCACAGCUUUGAGCGGGAGUAAAGACAUGCUGCUACAGAAGAUGGCUGCAACAGUGGAGCGGCCUGCUGCCAAACAGAUUGAGACGUUAUCAGAGGUAGAGGACAGUCUCAGGGAGUUUGAGCAGAGAGUGACCGAGUUGAAAUCCAAAGCUGAGGGACUCCAAUCCGACCAAAUCUCCCACCAGGAACUUCUCAAAUUCCAGGAUGCAUAUGAGGAGCUGCUGCUGAUGGUGGGCUCCCGGCGCAGCGGCCUGAAUCGAGCCUUGUCGCUGAAGGCUCAGUACGAAGCUGCGCUCCGUGACCUUAAAGAUCUGGUGGACACGGCUCAAGACAAGAUGGCUGCAGACCAGAAGAUGACGGUAGCCUCCGUAAUUGAGGUCCAGAUGCUACUGGACAAACACAAAGACUUCUUCCAGAGUCUUGAGUGCCAUAUGAUCCUUACCCAGACCUUUUACAGUAAAGUGUCAGGUCUGGUGGCCCAGCGGGAAAGCCAGGCCCUAGAGGAGACCAUGUCUUUAGCCCACAGUGUCCUCAAACAGGCUCACAGGAGGGGGGUGGAACUGGAGGGCAUACUGGAGUCAUGGAGCAGGCUUGUGGAAGACUACCAGGCUUUGUGUAGGCAGUUGGAGGCUGUGGAGUGCAGCAUCCCCACUCUGGGCCUGGUGGAGGAGACGGAGGAGAGACUCCUUGAGAGGAUCAGUCUCCACCAGCGUCUGAAGGCCAGUCUGACUGAGCAUCAGCCCCAACUGUAUCAGGUUCUGGAGGAGGGCAAGAAGCUUCUCCUGUCUGUUAGCUGUCUCGACUUGGAGAACCAGCUGACGCAGCUGGGAGAGCACUGGCUUUCAUCGACCACCAAAGUCAACAAGGAGCUCCACCGCCUCGACUCCACACUCAAACACUGGAGCAGGUACCAAAGGGAGUCUGCAGAGCUGAGCCACUGGUUGCAUUUAGCGCUAGACAGAUUGGAGUUUUGGACAACCCAGUCGGUCACUGUGCCUCAGGAACUGGAAACGGUUCGAGACCACCUCUGUGCUUUCCUGGAGUUUUCCAAGGAGGUGGAUGCAAAGUCUUCUCUGCGUUCGUCCGUCCUGAGCACGGGCAACCAGCUGCUGAGACUAAAGAGAGUAGACACAGCUAGUCUGAGAACAGCACUAGGCCACAUUGACACUCAGUGGGCCGAGCUGCUCACACGCAUUCCCGUUGUCCAAGAGAAGCUCCAUCAGCUGCAGAUGGAGAAGCUGGCGUCAAGGCACGCCAUAGCGGAGCUGAUAAGCUGGAUCUCGCUCAUGGAGAACAUCAUAGAUGAAGAUCAGGACAAAAUAGCUGCAGCUGUGGGCUCCGAGGUGGUCCAGAACUUCUUGCAGAAGUACAAGGGGUUCCGCAUCGAUCUGACCUGCAAGCAGCUGACUGUGGACUUUGUGAACCAGUCAGUGCUACAGAUCAGCAGUCAGGACGUGGAAGGAAAAAGGAGUGAUAAAACGGACUUUGCAGAGAGGCUGGGAGCCAUGAAUAGACGAUGGCAGAUACUACAAGGGCUCAUCACGGAAAAAAUUCAGCAUUUGGAAGGACUUUUGGAAAGUUGGUUCGAGCAUGAAAAUGGAGUACAGGCCUUGAAAACAUGGCUGACACUCCAGGAGGAGAAAUUAAAGAAGAGACACAGGAUUGAGGACGUAGCAUCAGUGCAGAAUGCACUUAAGGAUUGUCAGGAGUUGGAGGAAUUAGUGAAGGAGAAAGAGAAGGAUCUAGAGAAGGCAGAGGAACGAGGAAACGCUCUCAUCCAGGAUAAGAAAGGAGAGGCUUGCUGUGUUGUAAAGGAGACCCUCAAGGGACUGAGCCAGUCCUGGGCUCAUUUGGACCACAUGAUAAGUCAGAUGAAAGUGAGUCUGCGGUCAGUGCUGGAACAAUGGACCUUAUACAGACGAGCUUCAGAGGAGAUUAUUGGCUACCUGAUGGAGGGGAGGUACUGUGUGUCCAGGCUGCACCUUGUUAGCGGUUCUCUGGAGGCUGCGCAGCAACAGGUGGAGAGUCUAGAGAACCUGCAAGAGGAAAUGGACAAGCAGGAGAACAGUCUGCGCAAGUUUGGCUCUGUAACACAGCAGCUCCUCACAGAGUGCCACCCGUGUGUCGCCGAAACACUUAACAGAGCCCUGCGGGAUGUCAACAUGAGAUGGAACGACCUGCUAGAGCAGAUCUCGGAGCAGCUGAGGAGCAGUAAGGCCUUGCUGGGCCUGUGGCGGCAUUAUAAAGAACUGUACAGUAGUUGUGUGAAAGCAGUGCAAAGGCAGGAGGAGCGUGCUGACCGCCUGCUCAAGAGCGCCACCGACAAGGACAUCACUGAAGAGGAGAGCAGUUCCUGGAUGAAGGACUGCAAUGAGUGUCUUGGUGAUCAAGAAUUUGUCCAGCAUUCCCUCCAGCAGCUGCAAGCAUUGGGAGAGCAGCUGAGGACCAGAGUGGAUGCCUCCUCCUUUGCAGCCCUUCAGUCGGACCACAUGUCUCUGAGGCAUCGCCUCGCAGCGCUGACACACGCCCUCAACAGGCAGCAGGAGGUACUGCAGUCUGGAGGCCGGGCCUGUGAGGGCUUCAGGGAACAAUUGGACACGCUUAUCCAUACGGCAGCUGAGGCUGCAGAAGUGUUGAAGGAGUCUGACCAGCUUGGCUCGCCAGCGCUUAGUGAGAUACAGACACGUAUGGAAAAACUGAAGGCUCCUCUCGCCAAGCUGAGCAGCCUUUCUCCAGACCUGGAGCGCGUCAAUUUGCUCAUGUACAGACUCCCAGUCAGUGACAGAGACCUGAAGCGUCUUCAGUGUCUGAACAGAGCGUGGGCGUCCCACUUGGCUCACCUCAGUGAGCGGUUCAGUAAACUGCAGGCGGUGCUACUCCUGCACCAGAGCUUCCUGCAGAAGUGCGAAGCCUGGAUGGACUUCCUGUCUCAGACUGAGCAAAAACUGGCUGGGGAGAUCUCAGGCAACCAUGAGCGUCUGCUGGAGCAGCAGCGAGACCAUGAGUUGUUUCAGGCUGAGAUGUUCAGCCAACAGCAGAUUCUUUACUCUAUUAUCAGCGAUGGCCAUCGUAUGCUGGACCAAGGACAAGUGGAUGAUGGAGACGACUUCAGUGUUAAGCUGGCCUUGCUGGCUAAUCAGUGGCAGGGUGUGGCGAGGCGGGCCCAGCAGCGAAGAGGCAUUAUUGACAGUCUGGUCCACCAGUGGCAGAACUACCACGAGAUGUCUGAAAAGCUGCUGCGCUGGCUGCAGGACGUUUCUCGCGACCUGGAUGUGCAUCAGCCAGGAGGAGAACCAGUUGCUCUGCAGCAGGCUAGAAACCUGCUGGAUCAGAUACAACUGAGAGAGCGCGUCCUCCAGAGGCAGCAAGGAGGCUACAUCGUGACGGUGGAGGCCGGCAGAAGCCUGCUGCUGUCGGCCGACGCCCAGGCCGAGUCUAUGCUGCAGACAGAGCUGAUGGAGAUCCAGGAGAGGUGGAGACACGCCCACCAACGCCUGGACCAGCAGAGGAAGGAGCUGCAUGGUCUGCUCAAGAACUGGGAGCGAUGCGAUAAAGGCAUCGACGCCUCUCUGGAGAAGCUGAGGGCCUUCAAGAGGAAGCUGUCUGUGGCGCUGCCUGACCAUCACGAAGAGCUGCACUCGGAGCAGAUGAGAUGCAAGGAGCUGGAGAGCAGCGUGGAGGGCUGGAGCGAUGAACUCACUUCCUUGUUCCUCCUGAGGGACUCCUUGGUGGGCGUGGUGGGCAACGAUGACAUCACUGUCCUUCAGGAACGCCUCCAUCUUCUCCAGCGCCAGUGGGACGAGGUGUGCCAUCAGCUUUCCCUGCGCCGGCAGCAGGUCAGCGAGAAGUUGAACGAGUGGGCCGUGUUCAAUGAGAAGAACAAGGAACUGUGCGAAUGGCUCACACAAAUGGAGAGCAAAGUCUCUCAAAAUGGGGACAUCAGCAUUGAGGAGAUGAUCGAAAAGCUGCGCAAGGAUUACCAGGAAGAGAUCGGUGUUGCUCAGGAGAAUAAGCAGCAGCUUCAGCUCAUGGGAGAGCGCUUGGCUCGGGCCAGCCAGGACACCAAGGCAGCGGAAAUACAACACAAACUCAAUAAAGUCAACGAGCGCUGGCAACACCUGCUGGACCUCAUUGCCGCCAGGGUGAAGAAGCUGAGGGAGACCCUCGUGGCGGUGCAGCAGUUAGACAAAAACAUGAGCGGCCUGCGCUCCUGGCUGGCUCACAUCGAGACUGAGCUGUCCAGGCCCAUCGUAUACGACACGUGCGACGACCAGGAGAUCCAAAGGAAGCUCAACCAGCAGCAGGAGCUGCAGAGGGACAUCGAGAGACACAGUACAGGUGUGGCUUCCGUGCUGAACUUGUGCGAAGUGCUCCUGCACGACUGCGACGCCUGCUCCACCGAGACGGAGUGCGACUCUAUCCAGCAGGCCACCAGGGGGCUGGACCGACGUUGGAGGAACAUCUGCGCAAUGUCCAUGGAGAGGAGGCUCAAGAUUGAGGAGACAUUGAGGUUGUGGCAGAAGUUUUUAGACGACUUCUCGCGCUUUGAGGAGUGGCUGAAGACUUCAGAGAGAACAGCCGCCACGCCCAACUCCUCUGGCGUCCUCUACACUGUUGCCAAAGAGGAACUCAAAAAGUUUGAGGCCUUCCAGCGCCAAGUACAGGAGUGUUUGACCCAGCUGGAGCUCAUCAACAAGCAGUAUCGACGCCUGGCUCGUGAGAACCGCACCGACUCAUCCUGCCAUCUCAAAGAAAUGGUGCAUGAUGGGAACAGGAGAUGGGACAAGCUUCAGAAAAGGGUGGCGGCCAUCCUGCGCCGACUCAAGCACUUCAUCAGCCAGAGGGAGGAGUUUGAGACGGCUCGGGACAGCAUCCUGGUGUGGCUGACUGAGAUGGACUUACAGCUCACCAACAUUGAACACUUCUCCGAGUGUGACGUCCACGCUAAGAUUAAACAACUCAAGGCGUUCCAGCAGGAGAUCCACUUGAACAUGGGCAAGAUCGAUCUGGUGUUCAGGCAGGGCGAUGCUCUGAUUGAGAAGAGUGAACCCUUGGAUGCAGCUGUGAUCGAAGAGGAGCUUGAGGAGCUCCAGAGGUACUACCAGGAGGUCUUCGGACGAGUCAAUAGAUACUACAAGAAGCUUACACGGUUACCUCUCGUGGACGAUGAGCUCGACAGUUCAGACAGAGAGCUGGACAUGGAGGAGGGUGCCGAUCUCUCCGAGCUGCGGUGGAGCGACUCAACACCUCCACGACCCUCCAGCCGACCACCUUCUGGGGCGACCACCUUGAUUCGUGCAGACCGCUCAGGCCGGGACACCCCAGCCAGUGUGGACUCCAUUCCGUUGGAAUGGGAUCAUGACUAUGACCUGAGCAGGGGUCUGGACAGCCCAGGAGGGCGGAGUCACAGGGAAAGGAACCGAGGGCAAGAGGAAGAGGACGAGUAUCUGAGGACGGCUACUGCAGUGCUGUCAGAUGUAGUUAUUCCCGAGAGUCCGGAGGCGUAUAUAAAACUGACUGAGAACACGUUGAAAUCGUCCUCUGGUGAGCCAGGACAGCUGGAGGCCAGUCUCAGACAACUGGACCAGGUUCUGGAUGCAGGACGAUACCACCUGCAGGCGAGAGAGGAUGCCGCCAGCCGUUCCAGCCCUGAUGCUGACUCCACCUACAUGGGCUAUAUGCGUCUGAUGGGCGAGUGUCGUGGCAGCAUUGACGCCGUGAAACGAGCUGAGGAAGAACUCACAGAGGAUGAAGAUGAAAUGCCAGGACUCACCAACCCGACCAUCGCAGACAGUCAGAGCACAGGUGUGAUCAAGCGCUGGGAGCUGAUCCAAGCUCAGUCCCUCAGUGAAAAACACAAGCACAAACAGAACCUGCAGCAAUGGCAGCAGCUGAUCUUAGACCUGCAGACCAUGCGUGCCUGGUUGGGUCAGUGCGAGGCAGAACUGGGCCAGCUGCGAGGACUGGAGCUCCGCACGGACAUCCACAGCAUCCAGCAGAGGAUCAAGAAGCUCAGGGAGCUGCAGAAGGGGAUGGACACCCACAAGUCGGAGGUGCUUUCCAUCAACCUGAGCAGCGCCAGCUUCCUCCAAUCGGAGCCUGACUCUGAGGAGGCGUGGGAGCUGAGGGAUGGUCUGAAGGAGAUGAACGCACACUGGGAUCGCCUCGGCACUUGGCUGGAGGAGUGGAGGGAGGAGCUGCAGCGGGCUCUCAUGCAGUGCCAGGAGUUCCACGAGAUGAGCCAUGGUCUGCUGCUAUGGUUGGAGAACAUCGACCGGCGGAGGAACGAGGUGGUGCCCGUGCCUCCCAACCUGGACCGUGAAACGCUACAAGCUCAUCACAGGACACUAACUCAAAUCAAGCGUGAGCUGCUGGACUCUCAGCAGAAGGUGUCGUCCCUACAGGAGCUCUCAGCUCAGCUGCUGGUCAGCACGGCCGUGCCCACGCCCACCCCUCACCUUUCCCCGGGCAGCGAGUGCCUGGAGGCCCGGGAGAAGGUGCACGUGAUCUGGAACAGGCUGCGUCUCCUCCUGCGGGAGGUCGACUACGACCUGGAGGGUCUGCACAGGCGACUGGAGGCCAUGAGCACGCAACAGGAUUUCAUACCCCUAUCUGUUGGGAAAGGUGACAUGAUUGCUGCUUUUCCUGUGUCUGAGUCAACAAACAUCCAACCUUGCAGACGACUGCCUCGAGGCAAAAGUAGUCAGGCCCACCCCGGACCCCCUGAGAGCAGCCCCCGCCACAGCCGCAGGAGGUCACCCGGCGCCGCUGGCUGCGUUUCCUCCCGUUCUGACAUUUUGGACGGUGUCUCCUGGCCAUCCUCCUCCCCCUCUUCCUCCAAGGGCCAGUCCUUCCUGCAUCGUGUACUGAGGGCAGCGCUCCCUGUGCAGCUGCUGCUCCUGCUCCUCAUCGGACUGGCCUGCCUGGUGCCCAUGAGCCAGGAGGACUACAGCUGUCACCACGCCAACAACUUUGCCCGCUCCUUCCAUCCCAUGCUGCGCUACACCAACGGACCUCCACCGAUAUAGCUGCCUCGCCACAUGUAUUGCUUUGCCAAGGACUCACUCCUAUGAAUGUGCCCUUUUUCACCCUGUGCCCUACAGCGACUAGCUCCGCCCCCUGCUGGGAUGCACCAUUAUGACAGCCCUUUAAGUACGAAAGGACCUUUAUGUGGAAAACCCAAAUAUUUUUGUUUUGUUUGAACUUAAAUGUGUAUAUGGGUUUUUUUUAAGUGAUAUCAAUAAGGAGGAAGAAAGCACUCUUUAUCCACACUUACUGAUGGGAACCAAAGUCGUCCACUAUUCCCAGUGCUGCUACUAUUUAUUGAGUUGAAGAAUAUUCGUGUGAACAAAGCUCAAGUGUUUAAGAAUAAUGGUCCAAAAGAGAUUUAAUGAUUAUACAACUCAGUAAAUAUAAAGUAUGACGCCAUUUCGAUGACAUUAUGGCCGUUUGUUUACAGACACAACGCUGUUCGUAAAAUACCCGGAUAUACGAUAUUGCGAGGGUGAAAAUCCUCGGAUGUAGUAGUCCUCGCGGACUCAAGUACCCGGAUGUGGUUUUGCGCGUCCGUUUGUUACGUCCCACAAUAUUGUUGACACGACGUUGUGAAGUCCAUUACCUUUCUAAUUAACGAUUUUUUUUCCUGGACUAAAUUGCCAACUUAAUUUCUCUCGGAUUCUUACCGACUUUGCUGAGGAACUGUCUGCGCACUCGUGUGAAGACUCUUCAAUCUUCUGGCGUCUUCACCUGCUUCCUUCUUAGUCCUCUGUGUUGGUGAUGAUGUCAGCGCAGUCGGAGCGGGACCCUCCAAACUGCAGGACUCCUGGACAUGGAGGGGCUCUGCUGAGGCUCUCCUGGCUGCUGUUGCUGCUACCUCCUGAACUGGAGGAGGGGCCACCGUUGCUGCUACCGCUGGGAGGCACUUUAGCCGGACGGUGCAAGCGAUGGGCGUCCAGCAUCUCCAGCAGCAAGUCGUAAAGUGGCACUUUGUUCUUACACUUCAUGCUGUACAGGUGCUCCAUGCCUUUGUUACUGUAAGUAUACAUGUCAAGAUAUGGUCAUGGUCUGUAGUUAUGUCACUUGUAAAACCACUUUGUCCCUCUAGGGGAGAUGAAAGAUCACAGUCUUGUGAUCUUUUAAUACCACUUUUUUCCUCAAUAGAUAAGUCUGUUUUGCAAUACCACUCUGUUCCUCUAGGCACAAAAUAGUGACUCAUUAUCACCCCUAGAGUAACAAAGUGGUAUUACAAUACUUACUCAUCGCCCCCAGAGGAAGAAAAUAUUAUUACGCUAGACUCAUUGACCCUAGAGGAACAAAAUGGUAUUACAAGACUGACUCACCAUCGUCCCUCGAGGACCAAAGUGUUCUAGACAGGGAGACUGCAUUCCAAUGGCAGUUUAAGUUGCCCUUGUUGACUUUAUCUAGGUGCUUGGUAUUACGCCAUUACCGACGUCAUUCGGAGACCACUCGCAGAGCCGAGGGAAAGUGGAUGUGGGAGGAGUAGAAGUGAUAAAUGGAAGGCACCUGCCCUUGUUCGCAUACAGCCAGCCAGCAAGCAUGGUUUGACCAAUACUUGUAGGUGUAGCGCUGAAUGACAGUCAUGACGGUGGCACAGAUUCCCCCAAGGGCAAGUGUGGAGGGGAAGUCAACAAGGGCAACUCAACUGUCAUUAGUCCUGUAAUACCAGACUGGUCCUCUAGGGGCAAUAAUGACUUGUAAUGACUAUGAUGAGUCAUAGUCCUUCAUUCAUUCAUUCUCUACCGCUUUUUCCUCACGAGGGUCGCGUGGGGUGCUGGAGCCUAUCCCAGCUGUCUUCGGGCGAGAGGCGGGGUACACCCUGGACCGGUCGCCAGCCAAUCACAGGGCACAUAUAGACAUUCAACAACCAUUCACACUCACAUUCAUACCUAUGGACAAUUUGGAGUGGCCAAUUAACCUAGCAUGUUUUUGGAAUGUGGGAGGAAACCGGAGUACCCGAAGAAAACCCAUGCAUGCAUGGGGAGAACAUGCAAACUCCAACAGAUGGCCGAGGGUGGAAUUGAACCCUGGUCUCCUAGCUGUGAGGUCUGCGCGCUAAUCACACGACCGCCGUGCCGCCCCGAGUCAUAGUCCUGUUAUAUUAAAAUAAUCAAUGAGGCAUAAUCAUCCAACAACUUAAUGAUAAAACGUGAUUUCACUGAUAUUUAAAUUUAAUGAAAAAUGUUCCUGUUUUUGUCUUUGAUUUUGUUUAAAAAAUAGUUUUCCAAAAAGUGGUUUAACACGGUAUGUGUUUUGCGAGUAGGCUUUCACCUCAUGUGCCUGAUGUGAGAUAGUAGGAGGAGCAGCUGGGCCUGGCGCCUGGCCUGCUGCUGCACUGAGCACCCUGAUUGGCUGAUGUGAUGUAUGAGGGCGUCGGUGAUGGUGUCCAGCAUGCCUUGCACCGCCACGCUGUCAUGGAGCGGCUCCAUGGUACCCGUGCAGAACGCAAAGGCGCCUAUAUAGAGAGACACGUUUUUUAGAAGCAGCAUGUAUUAUGAGCUAUGUUCAGAGACAAAACAAUAAAAGAUUGAGGGCAGAGGUUGAAUUGCGAGUGCCCACGCAGCAAUCGCGAGUUCAUCGGGCUCCAGCAGCUGAGUCGUCGCUGUCAUCUCUGUGGUAUUUUCACUUUGCUGCUCUAUGGAAUAGCUUCAUCUGUGGGACGAGCUCAGCCCUCUUGUGUGCGCUGUCAUGUUGCCAUGGCAAUGCUUAUUGGCCUCAUCCGUGGUACGGGCCUUCCAGGACACCAUGUUCAGUGCUACGUCUCAGUGUACCACACACAGGUGCAUCUCAUUAAAUAACCAAUAGCGUGCCAAAGUUAUUUCAUAUCAGGAGUUCCAGUCAGAUUAAGAGACUAAUUAAAGGCUCAGGAAGUUUUGGCAGUUCUUUUGCUGAUUUAAGCACCAAACCAGUAGAUUAUUUUUCACAUAAUAAUAAACAAAUAAAAUGUCUCCUUACCAGAGUUGAGCAAGAUAAUUGCUUUGAGGCAGACAAACUCCUCAGGCUUGAGUCUUAGCAUGCGAAACCGAGAGGCGGUGGCCAGCAGCAUGUCAAAGAUCUCAGCCAUGCCUUCAACGCAGUCUCCUUCGCUCCUGCACACCACAGCAUGUCAGCAAACAAACAAACAAUUAGACGUGCAGUUUUCAAAUUUCUGAACAAGUACAGUAUAUUGCACAACGUAUAACUAUUAAAACUUGUAAUAGCUAUAUAGCUCAGACAGCAUUAAUACGGCACUACAGCAAAUGAAACACACAGAUUUCACACCAAUAGCUGAGUAACAUUUUAAAGCGCAUGCGGAGAUAGAUAAAGAUGCUAGACGGUCAUCACAUACGACUACUAUGAACGACUACCUCGGGAGGUUACUACAGCCACAGCUGUGAAUGCCAAUGUUUAAUUUUUUUUAUUUGCUUUUAGAGCCAUUAAUUGGAGUUUACAGUGAUAAUUAAAUAUGCAAACUCGAUCUUAAUAUCCUAUCCUACAUGAAAUAUAUUUUUUUAAAAACAAGAGUUUUUUCUGUCAACCAAAGGCCGCAACAUAACUGAGCAAAAGGGUACGUGGUUCAAGUUUUCUGGUUCAAGUGAGGGAAGGGCAGAUGAUACCACAGUGGUCAUGGAGCUGCACCUGAGGGAAUUCAUCGACCGUGACCUGCUGCGUUUUAGUCAUCAUGUCCAAUCUAGGAGGACACUUAUAGCGCGGCCAGGUUUUAGAGAUAAUACGGUAAUACACUUUUCCGAUCAAAUGGGACCAUCAGGCACAUUGCAGGCUAAAAGCUUUGUCUGUCUGCCUCGCGUUCAGCUGUCAUUCUGUGUUUUUUUUUUCUUCUCCCAGGUAGAAGUGAGGAUUGGGCUAGGAUGUUUACUCCGAGAACAGGAGAGGCUGGAUGGAAGGAAACAGCAAAACCAUCCUUCCAUCUCUAUUUCCUCGUCCUCUUAACUCCUUCCCACCAUCGUCAUUCAUUUUCUAUCAUUCUGUGCAUUGAGGCUUUGAUUACAUCUGUCCUGCUUGCCAGCUCGGCUCAAUAAUGAUGACGAGGGAGGUGGUCCUGUCUUCACUGUGGGAGACGCGUAAUUAGUCUUUCACUGUACGACAGACGUGUUGGGAUGGCACAAUGGAUGCUAAGGUGCGAAAUGGAAAAUCUACAAUGCUGAUGUGUCACUCUUGAGGUGUGGGUGAGAGAGAGAGAGAGAGUGAGGGGAUGAUGAAGAGUACUAGGAUGAGAGAGAGAGAAGUAGGCCAGUGGUACUCUCUUACCUGUCCAAAAUGAGGUCCUGAGCGAAGAUGAGCUUUCCAGGACAGUGGAUGGACCUCCAGAUGAGGCCGAUCAUCAGCACCUCCAACCACGAGCUUUCUAGCAGCUGCACCUGGUCGUGCAGGGAAAGCUGCAGGAAACCUGAGCACAAAGUCAGCAUUUUGAGCACAGCUCCAGGUGACACACACACUUGACACUUUGUAUGCUGAUGAAUCAUAACAACAGUUACUUAGCAUGCAGACCAAACACAGAUAGUGCUGAUUAAUGGGGUGGUGCAGGCGUGAUGCGGCAUAUCAACAACAUUAGCAGCAUCUGCCUACUCACAGAACACAAAAUAUGCAUGCACUUGUUUUGUGCCUCAAAGACACCAUGAGCACUGUACAGUAUAGCCUUAUCACGAGCACUCACGCCCUUGUUAGCUGCUAAUGUCUCAAAUUGGGAUUUACUCUGUGUGUGCAUGUAAAAAGGUGAUGUUCAUGUAGGCACUAUGGGGGGCCUCCCUAAUGGCUCAACAAUCCUGUCAAAGGUGAUGACUGUAAUUACCAGCACUCUGAUAGCUCUGCUUUUCCCUGUGUGUGUUGCAGUGACAUUGAUUUGAAAUUGCUUUCAAACCUCACACACACACACACACUUGUUUAUACACAUUUCUGUUUACAACUGUUAUACAAAUUUUAAUUUAAUGCUUUUACAUCCCUGCCAACCUAGUGAGGACAAGCAGCAUAGAACAUGGAUGGAUGGAUGCUUUUAUAUAGGGGUAGGGGUGUCACAAGACACGUGAUAAGUACCAGAUGAGAUUUCAACAUUAGUUUUAAGAAAAGUACAAUAAAAAAAUAACAAUAUAUAUACUACAUAAGACUGUUGUGCACUCUGUGUGUAUGCUUGCUGCCCCGCCUCCACCCACCGAGACAUAGCCCUUAUAACAAAGGACAAAACAGCUCACUCCAUUUAUAAUAAGAUGCUGAAACCAGUGCAGAACCAGAGUGAACUCUCCUUGUGCCUGUUUCAAAUGACGAAUACAGACACACAUGCACAUGGCAAUAUAUUAAAGCCGACAAAAUGAUCAAUUUCAUUUAUUGUACAGUUAAUUCAUUUAUAAGCGUCCUGGGGCUAGUUCCCAUGAGACAGUUUUUCUUCUGACUGACAAAUCUUGUCAUAUUUUAAUCUCGCGAGAUCUUGUGACUUGUCACAUGAGAGCUUGUGACAACCCUACCAUUUGUUCACGUUUCCCCACACAAGACGAGUCCGAUAUUUUUCUGCUGAAUAUAUUUACAGUAUACUGUAUAUCUCUCAAUUUUGAGGCCAGUUGAGGAAUCACUGCAGACGCAGCAUCAAUCAGCCUGAAAUAGUAGUGAUCUGUUCCAGAGUCAGUCACCAGUUUGUGUCAUACAGGCGUAAAAUUAACUGACAAAGGUGUAAUGCAAAACGUGAAUCACAUCAUUGAUGCACACCUCACCAUUUUCAAACUGUCACUUUUACAGUAGGUACAGAAAGUAAAGUAAGUACAGAACUGAGCUCUUUUUUUUUAGAUGAUUGUACCUUCAGCUUGAAACUGCUAACAUGAAUCAGCCUUACCAGGAAGCUUCUUGGCCCAAGCGAUCAUGUGGACUAGUUCCUUGUCAGCCAUGCUGGUGAGCAGGGUCAUCAUGGUGACCUCCGUGUAGGGUCGGCUCAGCUUCUGCCGCGAACACAAUAUCGGGGGUUCGGCCCCCUGCAGCAGGAGAAGCACCUGUCGACGUAUAAGAUAUUAACAUGUUUACAUGAUAUGAAACAAUGGCUAUAUCCAUCCAGGAUGAAAUUAACCUGGUCAGGUGGGAUGUCCGUUACAGAUGAUCUUCCCCCACCGGCACAGCUUCCUUGUUUCCUCCCGUCCUGUGGGGACACUUUUCUAUGCUCCGCGUCCUUGGUAGUCUUCUCAGAUGUGCCUGUGCGCCGCUUGUCACGCCGUAGCACGCGACCGCGGUCUUUGCGCACACCUUGUAGCAGACAGUACAACUCUCACACCACAGAAGAUACAUCAGGCUGUGUCUCAAAGAAUAAUAUAUGAUCAUUGUUGCACAUUCUCCACUCAAGACACAGACACAGGUCUUGGCAUAGAAUCCAGCAGCACAUAGUUUAAGGAUGCUGUGUGUCCAACAAGUAUGAAAACAAAAAACGUGGGUGUGCACUACUUACUCCUUAAGAAGGAAAUCACUUCAAGGUCGCAUUAGAGUUAGACUCAAGCAUGCCAGUGAAUGCAACAAGAGCCUCUCUUACUAAGUGGAUAUUUUUCAUAUAUAAAAUGAAGGUCCCGCCCACCUCCUUUCAUCAUGCCCACUUCGUAGCACUUCCUUAGUCGGCAUGCCUGGCAGCUCUUCCUGCGAUUCCUGUCAAUCGUGCACUGAUUGGUUGCAGGGCACACGUAGUCAUUGUGGCCUGAAAAUGGGGAGGGAGAGGGAGAAAUCUAUUACUACGAGGCUCCAGUGUUCAGUUCAGAUUUAGGUUAUUUAGUGUCCAGGAACACUCCAUUCCAAUUUUAAAUGGAUCUGUGAUGGAGGAAAUUAAAAGGUGGCGUCUUUGGCUUUGCCAUCCCCAUGGAGACUACUGGUUUCUCUGCAUCAAUAUGGCGAUGCAUGACGUCACAAACAUGACUAAGCCUCACAGAGGAGAUGGAGCUUUGUGGUCUGCACAGAGUGAGGCACUCGAAAAAUAUUUGACAAGCUGUUGCUCGUUUUGUUUCUUUGUUUGCAUUCGUGUGGCAGCUAUUGGUUUGUCCGUCAUGGUUAGAUGCACACUUUUACACACAUCAAUCAUUUGACACUUUCUGUAUUAGAAAAAAGCAGUGCCUUAGGUUAGUUUCUGGGUCAAAGUGCUGCCAUUCUACAAGCCUUAUUAACAGGAAAUGUUUCAUUCAGGGCUGUCGCAAGAUUAAAACGUGAUGAGAUUUCUCACCUAGAAAAAAAACUAAAAAUAAUAUUUUUCUGAUGCCCAUUACAUUGCAAUGUGGAUGCACGUCUCGUGUCACUUUGUGCAUUGGUUCAGCACCGACAAGCUUUAUGUUGAUACAUAUAUUCAACGGCAAACAAGUGAGACCUCUUGUCAGUCAUGCAGUUGCUUUGCUUUGUUGCUUUGUUUGCUUUGUCAAAUUCAAUACAAACGUAACGGUGCCAAAUUGCAUGCGUUCACAGAAAAUCAUCGCAAAAAGCAAUGCUGCUCUUUAACACAGUUGAGAAGCCAGCAUUUCAAGAAAUGCUGCAAACAAUUGACAGACUUACCUGUGGAAAAAAUACACGUCACAAACACCAAAUCUUUGGUGAUUACUAGUUAUUAGUAUAUAUAACAUUUGUAGUUUAUUUGGUCUCAAAAAAUAUGGACAAUGAUAUCAUUUAGCAUCAAUUUCUGUGUCUAUAAAAAUUUCCAAAUGCACCCGCAUUGUUUUGUGACUCGGUUAAAUAAAGUUUGUUUAUUCAGUCGUAUUUUUUUCAUUGCACUUCAAAUCUUGUGUGUCGUCUCACCUCGUGAGUUGGGUGUCUUGUGACACUCUUAAAAAAUAAGUUAGACACUAUUCAUGUAAGAUGGUGUUUCACAUGAUAUGAUGUUCAUGCUCAUGUUCAUUUUAUUUUAAAAUAUUGUGGGAUAUGUAACUUUUGGCACAUUUUUCCCAAAAAUCUUGGUUAACUGGCGUUUGCCUGGUACGUAAUCCACUGUAAUCCAGCUUGUUUUGUACAUUUUCCCACUACUGUGAGCUAUACUAAUGACUGUUUGAUUUGUAGGAAGUUGUCGCUACCUUGGAUGCUUCUCUUGAAGAAGGCCUUGCAUCCCUCACAGGACCACACCCCAUAGUGGUAGCCGGAGGCGUAGUCGCUGCAUACAGCACAGAACCGUGUCUCCUUGGCCAUCUCGAACACCCCAGCGGCUGCGGCGACCUCUGACCCGCCCACAACGUAAGGCUCUGCACUGGUGCCACACUGCUCAUCCCUGGUGACCUGCUGCUGACCGGCUGGCUCGCUGGACCUGGGACAGGAGGCAGAGAAUGCUUGCGAUGAAGACAAAAACAAAGAAACAAAAUGGAAAUGGUGCUUCCUGGACAACUUCACUGCCCUGUCCCACGCCACGAUAUCAUCGCCUCCUCUUCCUCCACCUUUGUUUCACAUGGAAAGGCUGCUCUCAGAAUAUUCAUGCUGCAUUUAGCUGAUAUUCAAAAUGGUGUACGGGCCCCCAUAUUAAUGUACACACCUGAGACUCCCUAAAUCAACAGUGCAGACCAGGACGGCGGCUUUAAAACAAAACAAAACGGCCUAAAAGCAACGUUACGGCGCUUCACUGCUCACCUUAUUAAAUAGGAGUCAUCCCUGUGCCGCUGUGCUCGCCUCGUUCAUCAUCCCUCGCACAUUCAGCUGGACUCACUGGGAACAGUGGAGAGUUUAGAAAAAAAAAAGGAAGCAAAAGGGAUAAACAAAUUAAAAGAUGCAGUCAAAUCGAUGGAGGCAGUGCAUUUGAGCGCCAGGUCACCAUAACACAGCAAACAACGCAGGAGGUCAAAUCUCAUUUCAACAGCCAGUAAUUACACAAUCCACCCUGAAUGACGGAAUAGAUGCUUGCUUUGAAAGAGAUACUGAAUAUUUGUAUUUAGCAUCUAAUAUUUGGAUUUGAACCACAGUUAAAUUCACUUGUACACAAUUGGGUAUGAAUGCAAAUAAAAGCUUUACAGAAAUAUGUUGAGAUUGGAGUUAAAACAGGGGGCCUCUUUUGAAUUGCAGCUCAUGUUUUAGUGGCAUAUUCUAAAAAUGAAAUCAAUUAUCAAUAUCAGGUAACUUGCAUUUUAUAUACACUAAUAACUUGUUUUGUUAACUAUAACAUAAAAUAAUCAUUUUCUUCAGAAAUAUUAGCAGAUAUUGACCUGGACUGGUGUCAGCAUCUUAACGUACAAAAUGUAUCAAGGUGGCCCCAAAUGUGCAGCCAUCAGUGGAAAACGUUUGGACAAAAGCUGCAUUUGUCAGGAGUCCUUGCAUGUUUUGGGUCUACGUGUCAAGGCAAAGCAAGGAAAAAGCCUUGCACUGGAGGAAUCCCAGUAACAAACUGUAAUGUAGCUGUUCCCUGCAUAAACGAUAAAAGUGGUGAUGAGUACCCGCCAGAACGAUUCUCUGCUUGGGUUCAUAUGUUUUGGUACCCCUAUAGGCCUCUGUUGAUACGUGAGCCUUCAAGGCAACUGCAGACCUCCAGCUUUAAAGAGGAAGCGCUCAACAUUUGGCAAAAGCUUCAUUUUCCCAUCUCUGUGCAACAUCUUUCUUAAGUAAACAGCCCCAUUUUCAGAACAUGUCAGGUCAAGUGGAAAACAAGUAGCCCUGAUGAUAUAUAUUUUUUUAUUGCAAGUCCCCAGAGAGGGUGGGGAACAAAUUGAGGCUCUAUUAGAUAACAGGGUAAAUGAAGGGUCCCAACUCACCUAAUUGACUCAUUUGGGGUGCAGUUUAAGCUCUUUUAGCAUUGUUAUGCACCUGCAUUUACAGCUGUCUUCUCGGGUGUGUAUUUAGUGUAAGCUGACCUUGAAUGCACAAGGUCAACAAGUCAAAAGUAAAGUGA